rnacentral:rRNA from 1 species
GAGUUUGAUCCUGGCUCAGGAUGAACGCUGGCGGCGUGCUUAACACAUGCAAGUCGAACGAAGCGGCUGCAGGGAUUCCCUUCGGGGAGGAACAGUAGCUGUCUGAGUGGCGGACGGGUGAGUAACGCGUGGGCAACCUGCCCCAUACCGGGGGAUAACAGCCGGAAACGGCUGCUAAUACCGCAUACGCCCAGGAGGCUGCAUAGCUUCCUGGGGAAAACUCCGGUGGUAUGGGAUGGGCCCGCGUCUGAUUAGCUCGUUGGCGGGGUAACGGCCCACCAAGGCGACGAUCAGUAGCCGGCCUGAGAGGGCGGCCGGCCACAUUGGGACUGAGACACGGCCCAGACUCCUGCGGGAGGCAGCAGUGGGGAAUAUUGCACAAUGGGGGAAACCCUGAUGCAGCGACGCCGCGUGAGCGAUGAAGUAUCUCGGUAUGUAAAGCUCUAUCAGCAGGGAAGAAAGUGACAGUACCUGACUAAGAAGCCCCGGCUAACUACGUGCCAGCAGCCGCGGUAAUACGUAGGGGGCAAGCGUUAUCCGGAUUCCCUGGGCGUAAAGGGGAGCGCAAGCGGCACGGCAGGGUCUGGGGUGAAAAACCGGGGGCUCACCCCCGGGACUGGCAUUGGAACUGGCCGGGCCGGGAAUGU